rnacentral:rRNA from 1 species
UAGAGCACUGUUUCGGCAAGGGGGUCAUCCCGACUUACCAACCCGAUGCAAACUGCGAAUACCGGAGAAUGUUAUCACGGGAGACACACGGCGGGUGCUAACGUCCGUCGUGAAGAGGGAAACAACCCAGACCGCCAGCUAAGGUCCCAAAGUCAUGGUUAAGUGGGAAACGAUGUGGGAAGGCCCAGACAGCCAGGAUGUUGGCUUAGAAGCAGCCAUCAUUUAAAGAAAGCGUAAUAGCUCACUGGUCGAGUCGGCCUGCGCGGAAGAUGUAACGGGGCUAAACCAUG